UACAGAGGGGGCAAGCGUUGUUCGGAAUUACUGGGCGUAAAGGGCGCGUAGGCGGCCGCCUAAGUCAGACGUGAAAUCCCUCGGCUCAACCGGGGAACUGCGUCUGAUACUGGGUGGCUUGAAUCCGGGAGAGGGAUGCGGAAUUCCAGGUGUAGCGGUGAAAUGCGUAGAUAUCAGGAAGAACACCCGUGGCGAAGGCGGCUCUCUGGGACGGUACUGACGCUGAGACGCGAAAGCGUGGGGAGCGAACAGG
rnacentral:rRNA from 1 species